rnacentral:rRNA from 1 species
UACGAAGGGGGCUAGCGUUGCUUGGAAUCACUGGGCGUAAAGCGCACGUAGGCGGCUUCUUAAGUCAGGGGUGAAAUCCUGGAGCUCAACUCCAGAACUGCCUUUGAUACUGAGUAGCUUGAGUCCGGGAGAGGUGAGUGGAACUGCGAGUGUAGAGGUGAAAUUCGUAGAUAUUCGCAAGAACACCAGUGGCGAAGGCGGCUCACUGGCCCGGUACUGACGCUGAGGUGCGAAAGCGUGGGGAGCAAACAGG